GGAUCGAUGAUGAGUCCUCCAAUAACAUUCCUUGGAAAAGCUGAACAAAAUGAGUGAAAACCCACUACCGUCUCGCUCAUCGUGACUGAGGUCC
ensembl:snoRNA SNORD116 Small nucleolar RNA SNORD116